GACGAACGCUGGCGGCGUGCUUAACACAUGCAAGUCGAACGAGUGGCGAACGGGUGAGUAAUGUAUGGGGACUGCCCGAUAGAGGGGGAUAACUACUGGAAACGGUAGCUAAUACCGCAUACUAUCGGAUAACCCAUAUGGGAUUAGCUAGUAGGUGGGGUAAUGGCUCACCUAGGCGACGAUCCCUAGCUGGUCUGAGAGGAUGAUCAGCCACACUGGGACUGGGACACGGCCCAGACUCCUACGGAGGCAGAAGUGGGGGAUAUUGCACAAUGGGCGAAAGCCUGAUGCAGCGACGCCGCGUGGGGGAUGGAGGCUUUCGGGUUGUAAACCUCUUUAGCUAUCGAACGGGUAGGUGGAGAAGAAGCGCCGGCUAACUACGUGCCAGCAGCCGCGGUAAUAC
rnacentral:rRNA from 1 species